rnacentral:lncRNA from 1 species
GGCCGUUCGAACGGCGGCUUGGGCGGGGCGAGCGGCACGGGCCCCGCCCCCGUUGCCGUGGUGACGGCGGCCAGGGCCCGCGCGGUCCCGCCGGGCCAGGCCCGGUGCCUACGAACUCCCGGGGGAGGCCGGGCCCGCCCCGGGCCGGCAGCUGCGGCCGUGCGAUGGAGCCCCGGUGCCUCCCGAGCUCCCGGGAGCCGGGCAAGGCCGAGCCUGCCCCGAGGCCGGCAGCUGCGGCCGUGCGAUGGAGCCCCGGCGCAGGAUGAAGGGUCCCGGGCCCGUGUGCCGCGGCCCGUGAUUUGAGCGUGUCCCCGCGGAGGAGCUGCGGGACAGAACAGGAGCCUUUGGCACAGCCCACGGCUCGGACCGUGCGUUACCGGCGUCAUUGCAAAUUAUCUUUGUGUAAAUCUGCACAGAACCGCGGAAAUGGGAAGAGAAUAAAGCACAGGCACCCAGGGAAAUUGCGGAGGCUGCACCAGCAAGUCUGGAAAGGCGGCAGGGAUACACGGCCAGGCACAGGAACCCUGGGAACAGCUGGGAACAGCUGGGGCUCCAGGAGGCCGGCGGUGUGGCUCGGCACCCCUGCUCGCCCAGGCAGCCUUGUGGACACAGCCCCGGAGCCCGGGGUGACCCAGGGACGCUGCUCACGGCCUGGGGCACGGGGAGCAGCGACCGUGCGUGGGGUUCAUCCCUCUGUGUCUGUACACCGAGCGCUACCAGCACGGUGCUUUUAUUGGAAAUAAAACUGGACAUAAAACUGGUGCGGUCCCCGUGAGAAAAGCCUCCUGUGUGUGACCGGGCGGCACCGGUGGGCGCCGCCCGGGUGUCCCGGUACCGACCCGGGCAUCAGGGGCGGGGGGGCCGUGCCCGCCUGAGCCCGUGACCCGCGCCCGCACCGCCUCCGGCCGGGCCGCUCCGCGCCGCCGGUGCCGCCGGUGCCGCCGCCCCGCCCGUUUCGCGCCGUCAUUUCCGCGGCCGCGGCGCUUCCGGGUCGCGCGCGGCCCCGCGCCCGUUCCGCCGGACCCGGACCCGGAAGCGGCUGCGCGGCCCCGCGGCGGCGGCGGCGGCGCCGGUAAGUGCGGGGCGGGGGGGCGGCCGGGGCCGGGCUGCCCGCGCUGUCAGCCCCCCGCGGGAUGCCGUGACCGGCGGCGGCGGCGGCUGCCA